rnacentral:rRNA from 1 species
AACGAACGCUGGCGGCAUGCCUAACACAUGCAAGUCGAACGAGACCUUCGGGUCUAGUGGCGCACGGGUGCGUAACGCGUGGGAACCUGCCCUUAGGUUCGGAAUAACUCCCCGAAAGGGUGCUAAUACCGGAUAAUGUCUUCGGACCAAAGAUUUAUCGCCUUUGGAUGGGCCCGCGUUGGAUUAGCUAGUUGGUAGGGUAAAAGCCUACCAAGGCGACGAUCCAUAGCUGGUCUGAGAGGAUGAUCCGCCACACUGGGACUGAGACACGGCCCAGACUCCUACGGGAGGCAGCAGUGGGGAAUAUUGGACAAUGGGCGAAAGCCUGAUCCAGCAAUGCCGCGUGAGUGAUGAAGGCCUUAGGGUUGUAAAGCUCUUUUACCCGGGAUGAUAAUGACAGUACCGGGAGAAUAAGCUCCGGCUAACUCCGUG